rnacentral:rRNA from 1 species
AGUGGCGAACGGGUGAGUAAAGCAUCGGAACGUGCCCAGUAGUGGGGGAUAGCCCGGCGAAAGCCGGAUUAAUACCGCAUACGACCUAAGGGUGAAAGGGGGGGAUCGCAAGACCUCUCGCUAUUGGAGCGGCCGAUGUCAGAUUAGCUAGUUGGUGGGGUAAAGGCCUACCAAGGCGACGAUCUGUAGCUGGUCUGAGAGGACGACCAGCCACACUGGGACUGAGACACGGCCCAGACUCCUACGGGAGGCAGCAGUGGGGAAUUUUGGACAAUGGACGCAAGUCUGAUCCAGCCAUGCCGCGUGCGGGAAGAAGGCCUUCGGGUUGUAAACCGCUUUUGUCAGGGAAGAAAUCUUCUGGGCUAAUAACUCGGGAGGAUGACGGUACCUGAAGAAUAAGCACCGGCUAACUACGUGCCAGCAGCCGCGGUAAUACGUAGGGUGCAAGCGUUAAUCGGAAUUACUGGGCGUAAAGCGUGCGCAGGCGGUUAUGCAAGACAGAUGUGAAAUCCCCGGACUCAACCUGGGAACUGCAUUUGUGACUGCAUAACUGGAGUGCGGCAGAAGGGGAUGGAAUUCCGCGUGUAGCAGUGAAAUGCGUAGAUAUGCCGAAGAACACCGAUGGCGAAGGCAAUCCCCUGGGCCU